AGAGACAAUGAGAAUGACUUUGAUCCUUUUGUUGUUGUUGGGGGUUGCAGUGAACACCUCCCCAAAAAAGAUUUCUUCCAGGAUCUAUGGCGGGAGAGACUGCCAAAACAAUGACGUAUUAUGUUGGUGUGGAGAGUGAUGAUGGCGGGUGUGGUGGCUCCCUCCUCAGUGAUACUUGGGUACUGACCGCUGCUCACUGUAUUGGCCCAAAUAUGAGAGUCCUCAUUGGAUACCGUGACAACGCAGCAGGACCAUCACAAACAAUUCAUGUUCAAGCUGCUUACUUCCCACCUGCUAAGCAAAACAUGAUGAAUGAUAUUACACUGCUUCAACUGAGUCAAGCCGCUUUGAAUGUGCAGCCUGUUCAUCUCCCAACUGGAUGUAACCCCAGCAACCUUCCCCCACAAAACACAGACCUCCUUGUUGCUGUCAUGGGAUCACUGAGAAGCUGGCGAGGAUUUCCUAAACGUUUGCAGUGUGUGAAUCUUCAAGUGAGGAGCUGUAACAUGUUUAAACAACAACCUGGUGACAUCUUCUGUGCUGGGGAUCAAAAUCACCAAACUGGAUCCGGUGACUCUGGUGGUGGCCUGGUGUUAAAUAACAACAAGAACCAAGGAACUCCGGAGGUGUAUGGACUGGUUAUGGGUGGAUAUGGUGGUUACUUUCGGUUUCGGGUGAUAAAGUUACCAUCUAUAUUUACAAAUGUGUGUACCCACAUGUCCUGGAUCAAACGUAUAACUCAUCUUUAAUUUUUUAAUGCAAUGGAACAAAUUAUUGCACAUUCCCUACCUUUCACUUGUGAUGUGCAAAGGCAGUGCUAUAAGUUCGUGUUUCUUCU